rnacentral:lncRNA from 1 species
CCCAAAAUAGUGACACACCUGGUUUCAUCAACUGUGAUCUUUGAACAAUAGCAAGUGUUUUCUUCAGUGUGUGAAAUGGCGAAUUAUAGCAUGGCUAGGGUUUUUUUGGCACGACAAUAAGUUAUAGUGGAUGUCUUAAUUUCAAGCAGCUAAGGUUUGGGUAUUAUCUCACGACAAGGGUUUGGGUUUCCUGGGUUAUGAAAGGUUUAUUGGUGGCAGAGAGUGUCGGCGGUGAGUAAGUGAAGAUUUGGGUC